AUUGAACGCUGGCGGCAGGCUUAACACAUGCAAGUCGAGCGAGCCGCGGACGUGUGAGUAAUGUCUGUGACACUGCCUGAUGGAGGGGGAUCACUACUGGAAACGGUAUCUAAUACCGCAUACCAUCAGAUGUGCCCAGAUGGGAUUAGCUAGUAGGUGGGGUAAUGGCUCACCUAGGCGACGAUCCCUAGCUGGUCUGAGAGGAUGACCAGCAACACUGGAACUGAGACACGGUCCAGACUCCUACGGUAGGCAGCAGUGGGGAAUAUUGCACAAUGGGCGCAAGCCGGAUGCAGCCAUGCCGCGUGUGUGAAGAAGGCCUUCGGGUUGUAAAGCACUUUCAGCGAGGAGGCGUUACUCGCAGAAGAAGCACCGGCUAACUCCGUGCCAGCAGCCGCGGUAAUAC
rnacentral:rRNA from 1 species